GGGGAUUUAGCUCAGUGGUAGAGCGCUUGCCUAGCAAGCGCAAGGCCCUGGGUUUGAUUCCCCAUCUCCA
rnacentral:tRNA from 1 species